UCCUAGUUAACCUAGGCAGUCUCGUUAGAGUCCCCACCUUAAAUGUUGGCAACUAACGAUAAGGGUUGCGCUCGUUGCGGGACUUAACCCAACACCUCACGGCACGAGCUGACGACAGCCAUGCAGCACCUGUACAAAGGCCCUUGCGGGAAAUGACAUUUCUGCCAUCGUCCUCUGUAUGUCAAACCUGGGUAAGGUUCUUCGCGUUGCAUCGAAUUAAACCACAUGCUCCACUGCUUGUGCGGGCCCCCGUCAAUUCUUUUGAGUUUCACCCUUGCGAGCGUACUCCUCAGGCGGUAUACUUAUCGCGUUAGCUUCGACACAGUCAGGGUUGAGCCUAACUACAUCAAGUAUACAUCGUUUACGGCAAGGACUAC
rnacentral:misc_RNA from 1 species